rnacentral:rRNA from 1 species
GUGCAGCAGGCGAGAAAACUUCACACUGUGCGAAAGCACGAUGAGGGAAUCCCAAGUGCUUGCACGUAAGUGUAAGCUGUUUCUCUGUCUAAAACGCAGAGAGAGUAAGGGCUGGGUAAGACGGGUGCCAGCCGCCGCGGUAAUACCUGCAGCUCAAGUGGUGACCGUUAUUAUUGGGCCUAAAACGUCCGUAGCCGGUUUAAUAAAUGCCUGGGUAAAUUGUGUAGCUUAACUAUACGAAUUCCGGGUAGACUGUUAAACUUGAGACCGGGAGAAGUUAGAGGUACUCCUGGGGUAGAGGUGAAAUUCUGUAAUCCUAGGGGGACCACCAGUGGCGAAGGCGUCUAACUAGAACGGGUCUGACGGUGAGGGACGAAGCCCUGGGGCGCAAAC